AAGGAUUUAAGUUAAACCAAACUCAUAGCCUUCAAAGCUGUAAAUAAAGAUUACUGCUUUAAGCCUUG
rnacentral:tRNA from 1 species